CAUAAUACUGUUGAACUUAACAGGAAUCUAACUUGCUAUGAUUUCCUUGUGUAUCUUUAGUGAGAACCCCCUGACAAGAUGCUAAUGGCUGGAUUCAUCUACUGGAGAAGAGCUUUAAUCUUCCACAGCCUUAUGAGCUAAUCAGUGUCAGAAACAGCUGCGUUGGUCUGGUCUGUAAUAUCCUUCCUAAGAAAGAAGAACCAUCACAAACUACCUGGAACUUGCUGGCAUCAGAACAGCCAUGUGGUCUCACAGCAAAGUUUCCUUGUAAGAGGAAAGGAGGAGACUUAUCAAGGCUGCUUGGUCUCUGUCUCAUGCAUACUGUGCAAAUGGGUGCACAAAGUCUGUCCUAUUCACAC